UGAUCGAUAAGUCUUGAACACAAAAUAAUUAAAAUAGGAUAAUUAAAUCCUUAAAGAAGAUAGGAGAGAUUGAAAGGGGAAAGAAAGAAAGAAAGAAAAACUAAAUUCUGGCAGAAAACGAUGAUGACGACGGUGGUCCGGCAAUGGUCACGAUGAGGUGAGAAAAAUAUAAAAAAAGGGGAAGAGGUUUCGGUUACAAAGUGAAGAGAAAAGAGAAAAGAAAAUGAGUGGAGAAAGGUUUUCCCAUGGUGGUUCGCG
rnacentral:lncRNA from 1 species